GUGAAGCGGUAACAGCUCAAAUUUGAAAUCUGGGUCUUUCAGGCUCCGAGUUGUAAUUUGUAGAAGAUGCUUUGGGUGCGGCCCCGGUCUAAGUUCCUUGGAACAGGACGUCAUAGAGGGUGAGAAUCCCGUAUGUGAUCGGUGGCUUGCGCCCGUGUAAAGCUCUUUCGACGAGUCGGGUUGUUUGGGAAUGCAGCUCUAAAUGGGUGGUAAAUUUCAUCUAAAGCUAAAUAUUGGCCAGAGACCGAUAGCGCACAAGUAGAGUGAUCGAAAGAUGAAAAGGACUUUGGAAAGAGAGUUAAACAGUACGUGAAAUUGUUGAAAGGGAAGCGCUUGCAACCAGACUUGCGCGGGGUUGAUCAUCCGGGGUUCUCCCCGGUGCACUCGGCCUCGCUCAGGCCAGCAUCGGUUUCGGUGGUUGGAUAAAGGCCUUGGGAAUGUGACUUCUUUCGGGGAGUGUUAUAGCCCUCGGUGCAAUGCAGCCUACCGGGACCGAGGACCGCGCUUCGGCUAGGAUGCUGGCGUAAUGGUUGUAAGCGACCCGUCUUGAAACACGGACCAAGGAGUCUAACAUCUAUGCGAGUGUUUGGGUGUCAAACCCAUACGCGUAAUGAAAGUGAACGGAGGUGAGAACCCUUAAGGGUGCAUCAUCGACCGAUCCUGAUGUCUUCGGAUGGAUUUGAGUAAGAGCAUAGCUGUUGGGACCCGAAAGAUGGUGAACUAUGCCUGAAUAGGGUGAAGCCAGAGGAAACUCUGGUGGAGGCUCGCAGCGGUUCUGACGUGCAAAUCGAUCGUCAAAUUUGGGCAUA
rnacentral:rRNA from 1 species